UGAAUUUGAAAACAACAAAGGAAUAUUUUCUAAAACAAAAAAUGAAUGAAAAAAGAAAACUGUGCUCCCCAAAAAUAUUGAAAGGAAAAUAAACCACAGGAACCUAAAUGUGUAUGAAUCAGUGUCUUAACCACACAGAAAGGAAUUAUUUCAUGUGACUCCAGAAUGCAGUAAUCAGACUGCAUUGUUGGUGGAUUAUACGACCCAGGAACUGAAAGAGUCACAAUAAUCCUUAAACUGUUCCCAAUAUUAUUGUUAGCAACAGUAAUGUUGUUAGAAUGUUACUAACUAAAUUGUUGCAAUUAUAAUUGAUGGUGUUAUUUUAGAGCUAUUAUGCAUAUAAAAUUAUUCUUUAUUUUAACUAUGAUAAAAUUAUAAUCCAGACACACACAGUAAGGCAAACCAAAUAAUGGAUUCUAAUAAUCUCUAAGAAUAAAAAUUUUCAACAUAAGAGAGAAAUACAUACUGUAAACCCAUAAGGUGAUUUUUAUUACAAUUUUUUUCUAGCUCUAUCUAUAGGAAAGGUCUAGAAAUAGUCAUCAGCCUGGCAGCAAUGAGUUUCCCCAGAACCCGCACUGUGGUCUUGAAAGAUCGUUUCCCCUGAUAAAAAGCCGGAAGUCUUGGGAGACAUGGCUGUUCACAUGUCCGGGGCAAGAUGAACCUGGGACACCCUAUCAUAUGCAAAUACAAGAAAGUCAUCAAACAAUGCAGAUUCUUCCAGGGGCUGCAAGUGUCCCCCAGAAGGGAUACUUCUGGGCUAGAGGAACCCACUCAAUCAUUAAAAGGAUGAAUCACUGCAAUGGAGUUGCAUGGCAGAACUAGGCAGGAAGUCAAGGGAAACUGAACUGGAAGGCUUUCCAACCAUUGCUUUCUUUAGCCCUGUGCUUUAACUCCAUCUCCUUGCAUGCCCAUUCUCCCAUGAUGCACCAGCAUCUCCAGGACUGGGGAGGGGGAAAAACCGUGAUGAACGUGUGUUAACUAAACCCCACGUGGAGAUGCCACGGGACUCCCAGAAAACCUCACACACACUAAACCCCGCUCAAGCUCCACCCUAUUUACAUAUUCAAUUAUGGCACCACCCCUUUCCCCAUAAGGGGACUGUUGGGCAUGGACAGCUUUUCUUCUCUUACCUUCUCCUGCACUCUCCCAGCAGGCAGGCAUUGUGGUCCCUCCCCCCAUGUGGGCAUGGAAUUCAGGAGAGGCAGAAAAUCCUCUUCCCUUCUUGGUGAACUAAACUGCCUGUUUUUUAGUAUUAGUUAUCAAUAUACUCAGCUGUUGUCUUUAUUGUCCCAUAAAGUUAGCCUGACAGCCAAGGAGAGCAAAGGCAGCAUGUAGCCUGAAUUUAUUAGCCAGACUCUGGUUCUCGAAAUGACUGUGAAAGUUCUGGCUGGCACUCACGUAGGUUUUUGUUUUCCACACUUGCUCAGUCCUCCGAAGAAAAGACGAGCAGUAUUGCAGAGGAGUAGCUCAUACCAGGGGCAUCUUCCUCGUCCAUGAAAUGUGGAGGAGGGGACUCUGAAACCUUCCUGUAAGAUGGAAUUAAGAGUUUAAAUCCAUGUGUACUAGGGAUUUUCACAAAGUUCGUGGACAUUAUGAAAUUUAUGAACACCUUCAUGGAUUUCCAUUAAGUUCAGCUUCCAAUUAAUUCCAUUUUCCAUGAACUUUUGGAAGUACCUUCCUAUGUUGGAACAGCAUAGCAGUGAGCAGAUCAGCAGUUACCAAAAUCCAUUGGAACUUAAAGCAGUGAUUUGCAAUUCAGAUCCCUGGUUCCCACCUACUGUGCUGGUUGAGAGGCUAUUCCGGUGGAGCCCAGGAAUCUGAAUUUUUGAAAGUUCCCCUUUGUUAUUCUGCUCAUCCGAGAUUUGACGAUAUUGAUCCACCAGGCUACUUCUGUAGCAGUCCAUAUUCUAAAAAUCCGGUUCCACUCUUAAACCACUGUAAUCUGAAACCCACGUUUGUGUGAAGCUUAGAAAUCACUUCCUACAACCUGAGGAAGGUGUCCAAAGAAUGGUACCUUUUUGCUUUUCCAUGCCUGUUUUCACCAGAGAUAAAGACAUCACCAUUUCCUGGUCCCUACAGAUCUCUUGGCAUCAGAGAGCAGCAAGGACACCUUGGUGGCAUGAGUCCAAGGCCUGGCCUGUGAACUGGCAGCAUUGGGCUCACCAGAGAGCGCUGACAAAGGGCGACUCAACAAAGGGCGACUCUGGGGCCCCACCCUAGACCUCUGAAUCAAAAUCUCCACUCUCCAGAGUGGUGUUGUGGCACAGGGAGUUAAACUGCUGCCUGAGACACUGGUCUCCCUUUUAGGUGCUGGUUCGAGUCCCGGCUGCUCCACUUCUGAUCCAGCUCCCUGCUAAUGCACCUGGGAAAGCAGUGGAAGAUGGCCUAAGUCCUUGGAUACCAGUACCUAUGUGUGGGACCUGGAAGAAACUCUUGACUUUGACCUGGCCCAGCUCCAGCCUUUGCGGCCAUUUGGAUGGAGUGUACCAGCAGGUGGAAGAUCUCUUUCUCUUUCCCUCUCUCCCUCUCUCUCUCUCUCUCUCUGCCUUUCAAAUAAAUAAGUGAAUCUUUAUAAACA
rnacentral:lncRNA from 1 species